GUGGGGCACCUUUAGGAGAUGCUGUCCUUUUUGUCCUGCCUUGCUCCUGGGAUGCUGACCGCCGGCCUGUCAGCUUUCGGAGAAACAGGAAACGCUCGCAGGCUGGUCCACCCUUGGCACUCUUGGUUAUUUCCAGGUCCAGAAAGCAAUGUAAAACUCAUCCUGUUACGGCCUCACAUACGGUAUAUUGCAGCCAACAGGAAUUCAGUCAACUUUAGGACAUCCCAGCUGUACAUGUUACAUCAAGUCACCAGCUUGCUGAUGGCAACCACGGCAUAAUUUGGUCUGGAGGAGACCGGAAGAAUUGAGAGAGUUCAAGACUUGUCCGUGAGUCCCCAAAGGUCCCAUAGCCUUGGAACUGAGCCCAGCUCUGCCCAAAACCCAGGGAUUCAGGAAUGGGGGAUUUUCUAAGGCUGGUUUACUUCUUGCGUACAUGUACACAUGCACACACGCACUCACACACACACACACACGCAUGUACGUAAUUGUUUUGAGAGUCAAGCUGCUUCUUUACUGAGAGCUGCCUUUCCAUAAAAAGAGGUCAGUUGCUUCUUCUGGAAGCCAUGCUAGCCUUUGGCUGGCCCCAGAAUUUCUCCCAUUCGACCAGUCCCUCUCUGGGCUGGGAGUCACAAGCAUUGUUCCCAAGAGCUGCCUGGCACUGCUUUUCCUAAGGACUGGAAAUUUUUGAGAACAAGAGCCAGGAUAGACUUUUUGAAAUUCCUUACAAUACUUUCAAAAAUAUAUACACUUAAAAAGUAACCCAGUGGUGGUGUUCCCUGGUGGCACAGUGGGUUAAGGAUCCAGUGUUGUCACUGCAGUGACUUGGGUUGCUGCUGUGGCCUGGGUUUGAUCCCUGGCCUGGAAACUUACACAUGCCUCAAGCACAGUGUCUCCCCCUCCCCCCAAAGGUAACCCAAUGAACAGCAAACAUUUUCUAUACUUUUAAAGUGUCUCCUGAUCUUGGCUUAUGAUAUAAUCAUGCAUUUUUUAUAGACCCCCAUCUCUGUGUGUUUCUUUUGCAUUUUACUUUCUGUCUAAAUAUCCUGCAGUAUACACUGCAAAACAUUUCCAUGUGUUUCAGUUAUUUGUUACUGUGUAACAAACUUCCUCAAUAUUUAGUGGCUUAAAACAACCUUGAUGUAUUAUUUUUCAGGAUCCUGUGAGUUGGGGGCUGGGUGAUUCUUCUGCUCCAUAGGGUGUUACUCAGAUAGCUGCAUUUUGCUGGGAGCUCAGCUGGGCAGCUUUGUUCCUUUUCUUGAGCUGCUUCAUUCUUCCAGGUGGCCCCACACUCCUCCUGGCUGACCAGGACUUCUCAAGGCAGCUGGGUCCUAAGAGGGAGCUUUCCAAGAGAACAGAUCUAAAGCACAAGCACUUAUCAUGGCUGCUCCUGUGUCAUGCCUCCUUAAAGUCCUGUUGGCCAAGGCCAGGGACCAUGUGGGGGGACUACCCAAGGGCAUUGAUUCUAGGGGGGGCAGGCUUCCUGGGAUGGCACAUCCGCCACAAUGGAACAGUCUACCUCCACUUUCUUCUUAUUCCAGAACACUAGUCAUAGUUGUGGAUUUGAUAUUUUCAGGCUUAACCAUUUGAGAGCAAACCUGAUGUUAGGAUCGUGAUUUUGCAAGACUGAUAUUAGAAUUCUGCCUCCAGGCCAGUGCUGAAGUGAGCAUCACUUACUGGUGAGUGAGCCUGUCUGUCUACAGAGCACCUGACUCUUAUCAAGGGCUUGGAUGCUCCCCACUCAUCUUGGCUACAGGUUAGCUCUUGUGAAGUUGCAAGGGAGUGGGGGAGAAAACACCAGUUUUUCUUUGUAGAGAGAAAAAGGACCUCAGGUGAGGUAAAAACUAGCAAUGGUGGAAAAGAUGUGAGACAAAGCACAAGACACACAGGGACUCUCUGUGAUGACAUGAUCCUGAGGCUGAGGAGCUGGAUGUUUCCUAAUAUGCAUGUUUGAAGAUUAGCAAAAGUCUUGAAGCAUAGCCACUGCAAAUGUCAUGUAGCUACUGUUUUAAGUAAUACGUCUUUUGCUGAGGGAGGGAGGGAGGGAUAAACUAGAAGUAUGAGAUGAACAGAUAUACACAGCUAUAUGUAAGAUAAAUAACAAGGACCUAUUAUAUGGCACAAGGAACUAUAUUCAAUACCUUAUAAUAACCUAUUAUGGAAAAGAAUCUGAAAAAGAAGAUAUAUAUAUGUCUCUGUCUGAAUCACUUUGGUGUUUACUUGAAAGUAACACUAUAUUGUAAAUCAACUAUACUUCAGUUGAAAAAAAGGCUUUUGCUGAUAUCAAUAUAAUUUAACUAUAAAAGGAGACUAAUUCACCCGGAAGCACCCCUCCCAUCUCCAGAUCCCCUUUCUGAAUACCUUUCAAGGAAGGGCCACACAGCCAGGGACUACUCAUCUGUCCAACAGCAGUCAGUGAUGUACUCAUGACUUUGCCACUUGUGGUUUUUUCCCCAGGCUCUGGUCAUAUUCCUGCACGAUUCAUGGUAAGUGUAAGCACAGGGUAGGCACAUUUUGUAUUCUUUUAAAAACUCAUCAAACACACCUUUCUUUUUCCUAGUCCAUGUCACAGUUUACUCAACUCUUCCUAUUGCAAGUAGAUAUCUGGGCUUUCUACACUGUUGCAUUAUAAAUAGUAUGGCUAUAAAUACCUUUGCAAGUCUUUUAUUUUGUAUUAUUUCCUCAAAGGGAAUGAAUUUAUACUCCCUGACCCACUUGCCUCUAAAGUGGGUCAGGGAGUGUCUAUAUAGAGCUCUUGUUGCAUAUUUCCAAACUGUUCCUAGAACCACCUCACCAAAAUAAAUUCCAGAUGGAUUAGAGUUAGAUACUAAAA
ensembl:lncRNA